GGAAAUGACCUUCCCCACUACACCAAGGGUAAUCAUGCUUGGAAAUAGCUCGAUGUCUGCAACCCGGUGGAUGGUCAGUAUGGAGGAGAAGGUAUUUUUCCAGCCUGAGCAACUCCAUGACUUUGCCAGCGUCCUUGCUGUCGUUUUUGGGUCAUAUUCUGUCUUCAAUCUGGAGUAUCAGGAGUCGGCAUCCACCACGCUGGAGAUGAUACAACGAUUCUUUGUGAGGAUCAAUCCAGAUGUUGGUACCAAAUGCACAGCCAAAGUCGAUACAAGCCGCAAGACGGGAAGUCUUGUCAAGAGGAAAGUAGUCAGUGUCAACUCCCAGAUCACCACCUUCUUCCAACAACUUGCUGAAUUUGAAUGGAGGACUUCCAACUAGUUCAGCUUCCACAAGAUGGAUCCCACUGAUUUUGUUUGACGAAUGGAAUAAAAGUUCUU